AAUUCAAUGCAAAAGCAAUCACCAAGUUUAUUAGGGCAAUGAAGGGAAGAAGAAUUAACAAGACCUGGGUCCAAACAUGAAUGACCAUUACCCCCCGAAGAAAUCGUCUGUCAACAUCUUGCUGAUGACCUCCAUCUUCCUGUGUCCUGUACUAAAAUACACCUGGGGCAAGAAGCUCAUCUUCACCUUGGACAGCUCGUUGCAUGACUUGAGAGUCCCAUUAGAAAGUGUUGGUUGCUGUGUUAUUUUGUUUUGGACUGAGAAGAUACUUCCUUGUAAUUUCUUUCUAAUGACAUUAAUUCUUACCUUCUGGAUUUAUGCAUCAAAUCUCAACACCUUUCAUAGGAAAGUUUUCUACUAUCUGAAUAUAGUUGACAUAUCUCUUGAAAGUUCUGUUUUCUCUUAUGUACCCCUACUUAAUUUUUUUCUUUGUUUUUGUUUUCCAUCUUUCCCCCGGAAUCUUCUUUAUGUUAGUUGCCACUCUCUGGAAACUUUGCCAUGAUCUGCUAAAUGAAGAGGUCGCAACUUAACAUAAUACUUCAGAUGUAUAAAU
rnacentral:lncRNA from 1 species